AGUUGAGUUUUUGCUACAGAAAUUUGCUUAUUGAUGCCUUUCUUUGGAGUGAGAAGAGCAGCCCGAAAACUGAAAAUUGGAAACGGUGCCACCCUUGCCACCAUUCCCAUAGUCACGGCGGGGUGGUGGUUAAUGAAACAGAGAUGGGCACCCAGGGCUGCGCUCACUGAACUCUACGGGCUGAGCACGGCAAAACGGACUUCCGAGCAGCCAGCUGCUUAACCCACGCUGUAGUGUGGGUGGUUUUGUUUUUU
rnacentral:lncRNA from 1 species